rnacentral:tRNA from 1 species
UCCCUGGUGGCUCAGAGGUUAAAGCAUCUGCCUGGAGUGCGGGAGAGCCGGGUUCGAUCCCUGGGUUGGGAA